rnacentral:misc_RNA from 1 species
CGCACAUUGCGCCCGCCAGUAUUCUGGCGGGCAUGCCUGUCCGAGCGUCAUUUCAACCCUCGAGCCCCCGGGCUUGGUGUUGGGGAUCGGCCCCGCCCCCGCGGCGGUCCGGCCGGCCCCGAAAUAGAGUGGCGGUCACGCCGCAGCAUCCUCUGCGCAGUAGCAAUAUCUCGCACCGGAUCGCAGCGCGACCACGCCGUGAAACCCCAACUCUUUCAAUGGUUGACCUCGGAUCAGGUAGGAAUACCCGCUGAACUUAA